rnacentral:lncRNA from 1 species
GGGGAAACAGGCUAUAGGUGGCCUUCAUUAUUAUCCUUAAAGUGUGCUGAAGGGUUCUCAGAGCAGGUUUACGCCUUUGCUUUCCUAGAUCAUCCAACAGAUCCAUGCAGUAAGAAUUGCUCUCCAUCUCUCAUUUUAGAGAGGAGGCCCAGAACUUCAGAGAGUUUAAUAUCACACUGGAAUUAACACCCUAGCCUGUCCACUUCUUUCAGAAAGCAGACCUGGCUAAAGUGAGGAGUGUGCAUGAGUAGGGAGGAAACCCUGCUCUAAGCACAUUCUCCAAAAGUGGCACCUCCUUGGUUCCUGGUAAGAGAAUUCUGAAAAGCUGUUAGAGGAAGUCAUGUCAAAUUUGUGACUUCAAUAUUAGUGGACAGAUGCAUGGGUUGUAUGUGUCUGUUCCAUUUACUGCUGCAUAACAAAUCACCCCAAAACUGAUUGUCCUCCAACAACCAUCUUAUAUUCACAGAUCCUGUGAGUCGGGAAUUCAGGCAGGGCAACAAUGAGGAUGGCUUGUCUGCUUCAUGAUGUCUGGGGCCUCAGCUGAAAGGACAUGUAUUCCCUGCUUGACAGGGUUCACUUGACAGCUGGAGGCUGGAAUCUUCUGGUCUUUGCAUUUUUAAGCUUUGGAGCCGCCCCUCCUAGAAGGGCUUCAACUGCCAGGAGCAGGAGCUCGGACUCCGUGAGGGACUUGCUCUGCGGAGAGUUUCACGAGGUACACCCAGGGCUGCUGCCUGGAGCCAUCUUACCAGAAGGCAGUGGGAAGUGGACCCGGGAGACUGCUGAGCCCAAGCCAGUCCUCAGAGAAGCAUGGUAACAGGUAGUUUCCCCACCUCCCUUGCAAGUCUAGCCCAUCACUCCAUGUCUCCAUGAUUUCCAGUGUCAAAUCAUAA